GUCUACUGCAGUGCCACCCUGAACGUGCCCGAUCUCGUCUGAUCUCGGAAGCUAAGCAGGGUCAGGCCUGGUUAGUACUUGGAUGGGAGACCACCUAGGAAGACCAGGUGCUGUAGGCG
rnacentral:rRNA from 1 species